rnacentral:rRNA from 1 species
GACGAACGCUGGCGGCGUGCCUAAUACAUGCAAGUAGAACGCUGAAGCUUGGUGCUUGCACCGAGCGGAUGAGUUGCGAACGGGUGAGUAACGCGUAGGUAACCUGCCUGGUAGCGGGGGAUAACUAUUGGAAACGAUAGCUAAUACCGCAUGAUAUUGAUUAUUGCAUGAUAGUCAAUUAAAAGGUGCAAUUGCAUCACUACCAGAUGGACCUGCGUUGUAUUAGCUAGUUGGUGAGGUAACGGCUCACCAAGGCAACGAUACAUAGCCGACCUGAGAGGGUGAUCGGCCACACUGGGACUGAGACACGGCCCAGACUCCUACGGGAGGCAGCAGUAGGGAAUCUUCGGCAAUGGACGGAAGUCUGACCGAGCAACGCCGCGUAAGUGAAGAAGGUUUUCGGAUCGUAAAGCUCUGUUGUAAGAGAAGAACGAGUGUGAGAGUGGAAAGUUCACACUGUGACGGUAUCUUACCAGAAAGGGACGGCUAACUACGUGCCAGCAGCCGCGGUAAUACGUAGGUCCCGAGCGUUGUCCGGAUUUAUUGGGCGUAAAGCGAGCGCAGGCGGUUAGAUAAGUCUGAAGUUAAAGGCUGUGGCUUAACCAUAGUACGCUUUGGAAACUGUUUAACUUGAGUGCAAGAGGGGAGAGUGGAAUUCCAUGUGUAGCGGUGAAAUGCGUAGAUAUAUGGAGGAACACCGGUGGCGAAAGCGGCUCUCUGGCUUGUAACUGACGCUGAGGCUCGAAAGCGUGGGGAGCAAACAGG